rnacentral:rRNA from 1 species
AUACGGAGGAUGCGAGCGUUAUCCGGAUUUAUUGGGUUUAAAGGGAGCGUAGGUGGGAUAUUAAGUCAGCUGUGAAAGUUUGGGGCUCAACCUUAAAAUUGCAGUUGAUACUGGUUUCCUUGAGUACGGUAUAGGUGGGCGGAAUUCGUGGUGUAGCGGUGAAAUGCUUAGAUAUCACGAAGAACUCCGAUCGCGAAGGCAGCUCACCGGGCCGGAACUGACACUGAUGCUCGAAAGUGCGGGUAUCAAACAGGAUUAGAUAGCCUGGUAGUCCGCACAGUAAACGAUGAAUACUCGCUGUUUGCGAUACACUGUAAGCGGCCAAGCGAAAGCGUUAAGUAUUCCACCUGGGGAGUACGCCGGCAACGGUGAAACUUAAAGGAAUUGACGGGG